GCCAGCAUGGUGUAGUGGUUUGGGCACUGAACUACAACUCUGGAGUUUAGGGUUCAAUUCCCUACUCUGCCA